CUGCAGCCAAUUAAGCCGACCGUCUCCUUGUGGGGGCCAGUGUGCAAUGGCUGCAAACAGCAAGCCUCCUCAGUAGUGUAUGCAGCCUAUUGUUAUGUAUAGGCUGCCCUAAGGGACCUUGGAGACAACC
rnacentral:snoRNA from 1 species